rnacentral:rRNA from 1 species
GUGGGGAAUAUUGGACAAUGGGGGGAACCCUGAUCCAGCCAUGCCGCGUGUGUGAAGAAGGCCUUUUGGUUGUAAAGCACUUUAAGCGAGGAGGAGGCUACCGAGAUUAAUACUCUUGGAUAGUGGACGUUACUCGCAGAAUAAGCACCGGCUAACUCUGUGCCAGCAGCCGCGGUAAUACAGAGGGUGCAAGCGUUAAUCGGAUUUACUGGGCGUAAAGCGUGCGUAGGUGGCCAAUUAAGUCAAAUGUGAAAUCCCCGAGCUUAACUUGGGAAUUGCAUUCGAUACUGGUUGGCUAGAGUAUGGGAGAGGAUGGUAGAAUUCCAGGUGUAGCGGUGAAAUGCGUAGAGAUCUGGAGGAAUACCGAUGGCGAAGGCAGCCAUCUGGCCUAAUACUGACACUGAGGUGCGAAAGCAUGGGGAGCAAACAGGAUUAGAUACCCCUGUAGUC